rnacentral:rRNA from 1 species
AGCCGCGGUAGUACUGAGGGUGCAGGCGUUAUCCGGAUUCACUGGGUUUAAAGGGUGCGUAGGCGGGUUGGUAAGUCCGUGGUGAAAUCUCCAAGCUUAACUUGGAAACUGCCGUGGAUACUAUCAAUCUUGAAUAUAGUGGAGGUGAGCGGAAUAUGUCAUGUAGCGGUGAAAUGCUUAGAUAUGACAUAGAACACCCAUUGCGAAGGCAGCUCGCUACACUAUUAUUGACGCUGAGGCACGAAAGCGUGGGGAUCAAACAGGAUUAGAUACCCUGGUAGUCCACGCCCUAAACGAUGAUUACUCGACAUCAGCGAUACACUGUUGGUGUCUGAGCGAAAGCAUUAAGUAAUCCACCUGGGAAGUACGACCGCAAGGUUGAAACUCAAAGGAAUUGACGG